rnacentral:rRNA from 1 species
GACGAACGCUGGCGGCGUGCUUAACACAUGCCAGUCGAACGCUGAAGCUCAGCUUGCUGGGUGGAUGAGUGGCGAACGGGUGAGUAACACGUGAGUAACCUGCCCUCUUCUUUGGGAUAACGCCCGGAAACGGGUGCUAAUACUGGAUAUUCACUGAUUCUCGCAUGGGGGUUGGUGGAAAGGUUUUUUCUGGUGGGGGAUGGGCUCGCGGCCUAUCAGCUUGUUGGUGGGGUGAUGGCCUACCAAGGCUUUGACGGGUAGCCGGCCUGAGAGGGUGACCGGUCACAUUGAGACUGAGAUACGGCCCAGACUCCUACGGGAGGCAGCAGUGGGGAAUAUUGCACAAUGGGCGAAAGCCUGAUGCAGCGACGCCGCGUGAGGGAUGGAGGCCUUCGGGUUGUAAACCUCUUUCGCUCAUGGUCAAGCCGCAGCUUUGGGUUGUGGUGAGGGUAGUGGGUAAAGAAGCGCCGGCUAACUACGUG